rnacentral:rRNA from 1 species
AACGAACGCUGGCGGCAUGCCUAACACAUGCAAGUCGAACGAGACCUUCGGGUCUAGUGGCGCACGGGUGCGUAACGCGUGGGAACCUGCCUUUAGGUUCGGAAUAACUCAGAGACAUUUGAGCUAAUACCGGAUGAUGUCUUCGGACCAAAGAUUUAUCGCCUUUAGAUGGGCCCGCGUUGGAUUAGCUAGUUGGUGGGGUAAAGGCCUACCAAGGCGACGAUCCAUAGCUGGUCUGAGAGGAUGAUCAGCCACACUGGGACUGAGACACGGCCCAGACUCCUACGGGAGGCAGCAGUGGGGAAUAUUGGACAAUGGGCGAAAGCCUGAUCCAGCAAUGCCGCGUGAGUGAUGAAGGCCUUAGGGUUGUAAAGCUCUUUUAACCGAGAUGAUAAUGACAGUAUCGGGAGAAUAAGCUCCGGCUAACUCCGUG